ensembl:lncRNA
GGCUUUGACAGCUGUGUCCAGCUGGAAGAUGGAUCUUCCUCGCAGCACAGAGUGGACUUGGAAAUGUCGGGUUCGAGAGAGACGGAGAGCCCAAGGUCAAGAGCCGUACAGCCAUCUUUGCAUGGAGAAGGACCCAAGCGGAUGGUCACCGAGGAGACUCUGGCGGUGGUCAGGCUCUGAUCGUUAGUUGGAUGAAACUCGAUUGAUAGCCCAGCCUAACCAACCUCAUAGACACAGUGGAGGGGAAAGAGGGCUAGGAGUCUUCUGAGGAAAGACAAAUAUGGCAAACUAUGCAUCUGCCCCUUGCAUGCUGCCAUCACUUGCCAGUAUCUUACUUCUUCCAUCUUCCUUCACGUGUGCUGGACCGAAGAGAUACUCUUGUUAUUUCAUCUCUCAACCCUUCCAGUGCUUGGAGUGUCAUUGAAAAAACUAGUUAAGUCGUUCCAUUUUUCUUGUCUUAGGAAGCAAUUAUAUCCCACAUUUUAUCAAAUCUAUACUGUACCAUUAGAUACUUAUACCAAUUACCUAUUGUNCCUUGAGUACUUUCCCUCCAUGCAAUUGUUAUGCUUUGUAGGAUCUUUGCUUUAUUUUGUAAUAACUGUACUGCAUGAUUGUUAUUNCUUUGGUAUUGUUACACUGUGCAAUAUCUUUGUUUUAUUUUCUAAUGUCUGUAUUGUGUGAUUGUUAUUACUAUGCCAUUUUUUACACUUUGUAAUAUCUUUAUUUUCCAAUGACUAUAUUGUAUGGUUGGUAUUACUCUGACAUUGUUAGGGUCCAACAAAAUCUGGCAAAGUGUGGUUGGGGUAUGGCAAAAUUUGGCAAAGAACCAGACGUUUGACAAUGUUUGAAAACUUUAUUGAAAGUUUAUUAAAGAAAGUGCUUUAAAAUGAAAAUUCACAUUGUUUGUUCCUGCACUCUCAAUACAUCUCCAAAAUGAUAGAAAUCAUUCAGGUAUCCAUCUCAAGCUGGUGCUAUCAGCCAAAACAUAAGGAAACAACAGGGAAAGCAUCAAGGAGUGGGAAAGAGACCGAGGGGGAGCCCAGGUACUCAAGAGUUGACAUCAGGCUGAGGAUUCCCUCUGUGUCCGAUCCAUUGAAUCUGCGUUGCGGUGGGCCUGGACAGACGCUGUUGGUUAGAAGUAUUGCAGAGAGGUUA